CGCCUUCGUCAGUAUCAUCGUCGACAUCUACAAGCAGCAGAACUCGCA
rnacentral:tRNA from 1 species